GCACAAGCGGUGGAGUAUGUGGUUUAAUUCGAUGCAACGCGAAGAACCUUACCUGGUCUUGACAUCCCGGAGACCCUUAGGAAACGUAGGGGGUGCUUCCAUCUGGAAGAAUCUGGAGACAGGUGCUGCAUGGCUGUCGUCAGCUCGUGUCGUGAGAUGUUGGGUUAAGUCCCGCAACGAGCGCAACCCUUGCCUUUAGUUGCCAGCAGUUCGGCUGGGCACUCUAAAGGGACUGCCGGUGUUAAACCGGAGGAAGGUGGGGAUGACGUCAAGUCCUCAUGGCCUUUAUGACCAGGGCUACACACGUACUACAAUGGCCGAUACAAAGGGCAGCGACACUGCGAGGUGAAGCCAAUCCCGUAAAAUCGGUCUCAGUCCGGAUUGGAGUCUGCAACUCGACUCCAUGAAGUUGGAAUCGCUAGUAAUCGUGGAUCAGCAUGCCACGGUGAAUACGUUCCCGGGCCUU
rnacentral:rRNA from 1 species